AUGUCUCAGCUUAAGUUGCUUUCUGCUACACUGUGAAUGGCUCACUUUUUAAGCCACAAAUUGAUUGGUGGCUGACACGUAUGGAUCUCUGUGGCAACGCUGCAGCUAACACAUGCUCGUUGACCCUGCUGGAUGGGUUGUAGCCAUUCUCACAAGAACCAAUUCAGGCUCUGCUUGGCCAGGCAUGAGUACAAAUGGCUGUAUGAAUCACGGUGUCCGUGCAGGUGAUAAUCCUUCAAGGUGUCUGACCUAUCAGCUUCCGACGGCAGGGUAAUGGCCCACUGUGGCAGUGACAGGUGACGGAGGAUUAGGGUUUGAUUCCGGAGAGGGAGCCUGAGAAAUGGCUACCACAUCCAAGGAAGGCAGCAGGCGCGCAACUUGCCCAAUUCUGGACGAAAGAGGUAGUGACAAGAAAUAGCAAUUCAAGGCAUCCAUGUCUUGUACUUGGAAUGAAAGACCUGCACACUUCCUUUUGAGUAUCUAUUGGAGGGCAAGUCUGGUGCCAGCAGCCGCGGUAAUUCCAGCUCCAAUGGCAUAUGUUAGAGUUGUUGCAGCCAAAAGGCUCGUAGUUGGAUUUCUGCAGAGGAUGCCUGGUCCGCCCA
rnacentral:rRNA from 1 species